AAAUUUGUGCAAAUUCAAUAAAUUGCAGGAAAUACGUAGGCCU
rfam:Trichuris trichiura, WGS project CBXK01000000 data, contig: TTRE_476